rnacentral:lncRNA from 1 species
ACACACCUUCGCUCCGGCCGAAAGGCUAUUCAAAUUUUGCCAUACAUACACAUGUUAUUAUCUCAUAUGCGUCCUGCUACUGGUGGCAUUGGAGCUACCACCCCGGUCCACACACAACACAACACAACAUUGGCGCAGGUCAUCAACUUGAACAAGGAAAAUUACACACACAUAGUGACAUAGCAGAUUCAUGCUGUAAUAAGCAUGCCUUAUUUUCUUACGGGACGAUGUAUAACUCACUGUAAGCAUAUAUGUGCUUCUCUCACAUCUGGUUGCUCCACAUCCAUGCCGGCACGCACCCUGCGAUAGUAUUCGUUAGAAGAAAAACGAGGAAGGAAACCAUGUCAUUACAAAAGACAUGUGGCGUUUUCAAUUCACAAGCUUAUUUCAACUUGCAAGAUGAGAUAUAACAAAAAAAAAUAGCUAUUAGCUCACAUGAGUAUGGGAAGCUGAAGCAAAGGGCCGGUUUGUUGAGAGCCUGCUCCUGCUGAUCCACCACAAGGAUGUAGAAGUGGCCCAUGACCCCCAUAUGCUGCCGCUCGCUGCUGUAGUUGGAGACCAUGGUCAGCACCUCACCAUGGCUUACCUUCACCGUACCUGGCUCCGGAUAGCAUGUUGACAUGCCGACGAUGUAUCCCUCCUCGUUCCCGGCCUCCUGCCCCGUGCCGUAGAUUGGCAUGGAUUUGCAGAGCAGGCGGCCGUCCUGAUAAUGAAAUUUUAGUCAUUCUUGUGUUUUAGUUUUUUCGAUGCGAAUCCAUGCCUUUGACCCAUUCCAAAGCUAGAAAUGGAGUAUGGUUGUAUGAAUGAGUGAAUUGCAAAACCAUCGUCAUUGAAGGUUAGGGUUUAAAAAUCACACUUCUAUGGCACCCUCCUCAUAAAUAUGAUUAAAAUGAAUAAAGCGGGUGACUAGUGUUAUUUGCGGAAAACUAGGCUCAAUAUUAAUAGCAGUUUUUCGCAUUAAUCUGUAGAACUGUGAUUUCUACGUACAAACCCGGCCUUUAAUGUUUGUGGUUUAUGCAAUUCACUCUUGUAUGAAUAGGUGACAUAUACCUGUCCAUGCAACGAGGAACCGAGGCCACCUCUAUGCAGGUGAGCGACGGCGUAGACAAGGUCGCCUCCAUGGGACACCAUUUCUUUGGUCGUCUUCAUGUCGACGCAGUUGUUUUUGGCUCGGUCUUCGGAGCUGCAUUCGUCCACACGGUACUCCACCUGCAAAGCAAAGCCAGACAUUUUUCAACAAUUGUUAAUGGUUGAACAACCUAGCUAACGCGAGGGAAGCAACUAGUAGUAGCUAGUAAUACUAUGAGAUAUAGUGAAGAUCGAUUAGAUAUAUAUAUAUAUAGAGAGAGAGAGAGUAGAUAUAUAUAUAUAUAUACAAACCUUGCAAAAAGGGUUGGUAUUGUCCCACUUUAAUAUACAAGUUUUAGGUGCCUCCUCCAGCCCAAUACUACUAGUUCUAAUUGAGAUAAUUAGAGAUAUUUCUAGUUCCUCUAAUCCUCAUAAUUAGAAGUCUCGUGAGGCUCAAUCUCCCCCUCUAAUUCUCCGAUGGUGAUUAGUUUUGGACAGCGAAGUGCUACCGGAUUGUGAGGCUCUAUCUCCCCCUCUACUUCUCCGAUGGUGAUUAGUUUUGGACAGCGAAGCGCUACCGGAUCACGAAUACUAUACACUUGCAAACUGUAGAGAGGCCAUACUUUCGGUCUUCGUUCGAGGGCAGUUUGUGUCACCGUUCAUCUAUGGUUCCAGGGACUCCAAGUAUGAUCUACACCGACUCAUUCUGCUUCUGGUACAUACUCGGAGUUGGUUACUAUCAUGAUCCAAUCCUCUAAUGCACUUUCAUAUUGUUCCUCGGUGUUUGUAGGGCGAUUUUUUUCUAUUUUCUACUACGUUUCCCAACACUCGGGUCUGCGGAGGCGGAGGUGGAGAGUGCCGAGGUGGAACCGGAGAAGGAGAAGCUUUAGUUCUUAGAGCUCAUCGCCGGGAAAUAGACGUCGAUGACCAUUUAGAUUAGAUAUUUAUUAUACCCUAGAGCCGGACUAGCACUGUGCAGUUGAUGUAAAUGUAAUAAAAUCCUUCAUAUUUAUAUGAAAUCUGGUCGUGUUUAUAUGAAAUCCGACCGUGUUUGAAUGAAUUUCAGCUAGUUGGUUCAAACUGUUGUUAAAAUGUUACGGCUGGAUGGCGGCCUCCCACAUUCGUGUCCAUGGAAUGCCCCCCCCCCCUAGUCCACAGAUGGAUGUGGGAGAAAAUUUGCGCGUCGCCGUUGAAGAUUAUCUCUUACUGGUAUCGUUCAUGGUCACACACCUUUGCUCCGGCCGAAAGGCUAUUUAAAUUUUGCCAUACAUACGAAUCUUAUUGUCUCAUACGUGUCCUGCUACUAGUGACAUUGGAGCUACAACCCCGGUCCACACACAACACAACACAACAUUGGCGCAGGUCAUCAACUUGAACAAGGCAAAUUACACACAGUGACAUGGCAGAUUCAUGCUCUAAUAAGCAUGCCUUAUUUUCUUAGAGAAACGAUGUAUAACUCACUGUAAGCAUAUAUGUGCUUCUCUCACAUCUGGUUGCUC